rnacentral:misc_RNA from 1 species
GCAAACUUGGUCAUUUAGAGGAAGUAAAAGUCGUAACAAGGUUUCCGUAGGUGAACCUGCGGAAGGAUCAUUACUGAGAACAAAAACUUUUAGUUUUUGACCUCCAACCCUUUGUUUAUAUGACCUUUUUAGUUGCUUUGGUAGGGCAGUUUUUUUUAUAACUACCGGACCUUCACGUCUGGUUAGUACCUACCAACAGCCUAAUCUUAAAAAUUCUUGAUUAACUAUGUUGUCUAAAUUUUUAAUUUAAUUAAAAGCAAAACUUUCAACAACGGAUCUCUUGGUUCUGGCAUCGAUGAAGAACGCAGC